rnacentral:rRNA from 1 species
AUUGAACGCUGGCGGCAUGCUUUACACAUGCAAGUCGAACGGUAACACGCCUUCGGGUGCUGACGAGUGGCGGACGGGUGGGUAAUGCAUCGGAACGUGCCCAGAGGUUGGGGAUAACGCAGCGAAAGCUGUGCUAAUACCGCAUGUGAUCGGAGGAUGAAAGCGGGGGACCAGGCUGCAAUGUUUGGCCUCGCGCCUUUGGAGCGGCCGAUGUCCGAUUAGGUAGUUGGUUGGUUAAAGGCCUACCAAGCCGACGAUCGGUAGCCUGUCUGGGAGAACGAUCGGCCACCCUGGGACUGAGACAGCGCCCAUGGGCCUACGGUAGGCAGCAGUGUGGAACUGGGGGCAAUGGGCGCAAGUCUUAUCCAGCAAUGCGGCGCGCGAGGAGCAGGCCCUGCGGGUGGAAAGCGGGUUUGUACGGAACGAACAGGCUCUGGCUAAGACGUGGGGUUAAUGACGGUACUGUAAGAAUAAGCACCGGCUAACUACGUG